CCCAGAUUAUUUGUUUAUUUGAUAUUUUUCAAACAGUUAAAUCCCUGAACGAAUUAUACCUUAUAAUAUAGAUUAGACUCUUAUUUUGAAAUUCGGAACGGGCAACUUCCGGGAAGGAAGAUCGUACCGCAACUGCUUGCCGCAGAAAGGAUUAAUGAGAAGGUUAUCGUUUUCCAUCCAUCUUAAAAUUAGCAUCUAGCUGGAAGGCGAACAGCUCUUACGAUGUGUCUAUGGCAAUUUGUGAAUAAAUGGGUUGGAAUACCCCACCAUG